rnacentral:lncRNA from 1 species
AUAUUAUAUUGUGCUAUUCAAGAAACAAAGUUUAAUGAAAUUUCUGCAUGCUUAUCUGCUAAGGAGAUCUGGGAUACUUUAGAAAAUAUUUAUGAUAAAUCUCAGAUUAGCUCUCAUAUGCUUCAAUUAUAUACUAACAAUGAGACUGCAGAAAAGGGUGAUGAAUCUCCCUCAGUCGAGUCGACUCCAAGUAGCUCAGAGUCGACUCUCAAGUUCACCGAGUCGACUCCAAUAAGGUCCGAGUCGACUCCGAGGCAAAUCAGCUUCCUAAA